UACGGAGGGUGCAAGCGUUAUCCGGAUUUACUGGGUUUAAAGGGUGCGUAGGUGGAAUUAUAAGUCAGUGGUGAAAGCCUCGAGCUCAACUCGUGAAUUGCCAUUGAUACUGUUUUUCUUGAGUACGAUUGAGGUGAGUAGAAUAUGUCAUGUAGUGGUGAAAUACUUAGAUAUGACAUAGAAUACCGAUUGCGAAGGCAGCUCACUAAAUCGUAACUGACGCUGAGGCACGAAAGCGUGGGGAUCAAAC
rnacentral:rRNA from 1 species